UACAGUACUGCGUCACGAAGUUCCCCUCCGCGUGUAAUAAAUCCGUGUUAAAAAUAUUCGAAGCUAUGUAGGAAUAGCACGGUUUGCUUUCAAAGUUCCCGGAAACGUUUGUGAGGCUUUUCAAAUCCAUCCUCAGGUGUUGUGAACGAGAACGCGACGGCUAGGUAAAAGUUCGUAAAGCUCCCUCAGGUCAGAUCUUAUAGAUGUACUUUUUUGAGAAAUGCAGAAGACAUUGGAUACCGGUACUAAUGGUGGCCCACCCAGUGCAUACUAGAGUUGAGAACAUAUCCUUCCAGAAGAAAUCGACAGAACAGAAGCUUGAAAUGACAGACUCUGCUGUGUGGUUCAGUCUCCUCCACCAGUGAAGGCAGAGUGGCACCCGCUGUAAGCAACCUGUGCUUCUGUUAGCCAAAUGAAGACCUGGAGAACCGAGGACAUGGGUAGAGCAUUUCUGCUUCAGUGAGAAAUCCCUCUGUAGUAAUAUGUAUGAGGGACCAGCUGACCAGAAGAUCCUGCCAACCGAAUGAUGGUCUGGCUUGAAAUAUCAUUCCCGGAGGGCACAAAACCUGACCGGUGAAUCUGGUUUUAAAAAAAAAAUCUCAGCACAAACCUGCACUGGGAUUUAAAAUGGGUAAAGAAAGAGAUAUAUGUCUGUUUCUUUUGCCUAACUUGACCUUACAGAUGUUAAGACUUUUUUUUAUUUUUUAUUAUCGCUUCUACUGUUCCCCCUCCCUCCCGAAAGUGUGAGGAAUGUUAGUGAUGAGGACAUUUAGAGGAGGUUUAUUUUGGUAAGGGAUGUAAUGAGCAUGAUUGUGUGCUGAUUACACCCAGCCAACGUACUGGAGUGUCUUGGGUGAGCUACGAAGAGGAGAUGAGGGUAAAAGCGAGCGGUGACAAGCCUCAUUAACGGAAAAUACUCUGCUCCGCUGCCGAGGCCCUGCUGUUGAUGAGGAACCUAACUGCUAGACUCUCUAAUUAUGCGCUGUAACCGCCAUCCCACAGAAAGCAAUAACCCCCACCUCUCCGCAUAUGCAAAUAUGACAGACCCGAUCAUUAGGUUUUAUGCCUCAAAGCCAAAUUGUUAUUGUAAAACCAUUGAAGCCAAGGGCAAAGACGUAAAACUCUAUCACGCAUUUUGACACAUUUUUUACGAGCUUUCCCCAAUAACAGAACAAAUGUUAUUGAAUGUCAUGGAUAGUCAAGGGUAAUGUGCCGUGAAAGUAUUGUUUCAAAUCAGAACAAUUAUUUGAGGCUUCGUUGAAAAAAAAAGAUGUCGAUUUUUGGAGCCAAGAAUGUAUAAUUUGGCUCGUUCUCCACUCCGUGUUUCCCAGCAUUUUGGUUAGCGUGCCAUAUUGAAAUUUCAUAAUGAU